CGUAAUCGCUGAAUUCCAGACUGGAAGCGGGGGAACCAUUUUUUGUGGCGCGGCCACUUGGGGUGAAUCCUUUUGAAAGGUAAGGUGACUCUUUGCACCUGAAUCCGACAGCUAACCUCGCAAGCGUUUGAAGAG
rnacentral:sRNA from 1 species